rnacentral:rRNA from 1 species
AUUGAACGCUGGCGGAAUGCUUUACACAUGCAAGUCGAGCGGCAGCGCGGGGGCAACCCUGGCGGCGAGCGGCGAACGGGUGAGUAACAUAUCGGAACGUACCCAGUCGUGGGGGAUAACUAUCCGAAAGGAUAGCCAAUACCGCAUACGUCCUGAGGGAGAAAGCGGGGGAUCGCAAGACCUCGCGCGAUUGGAGCGGCCGAUAUCGGAUUAGCUAGUUGGUGGGGUAAAGGCUCACCAAGGCGACGAUCCGUAGCGGGUCUGAGAGGACGACCCGCCACACUGGAACUGAGACACGGUCCAGACUCCUACGGGAGGCAGCAGUGGGGAAUUUUGGACAAUGGGGGCAACCCUGAUCCAGCCAUUCCGCGUGAGUGAAGAAGGCCUCGGUUGUAAG